rnacentral:other from 22 species
ACGCAGGUUUCCUCAACUGACACAACCGUGCAAACAUGAAGUUUCGCCCGGUCUUUCCGGGUCUUGAGAGACGACAUUUGUACUGAGAUCAACUCCACAAUUGGUCUACUGGCGGGUGCUAGUAAUGACUUUGUUGCUUCGUAGCGGAGCACGCAAGCCGCGGGAACUCCCCCUUGGUAACAAGGACCCGCGGGGCCGAAAGCCACGUUCUCUGAACCUUGCGUGUGUGCAACCCCAGCACGGUAAUACUGUCAUGAAACACACUUUAAGGUAACACUGAGACUGGUACUUGGUUUCUGGAGACAGGCUAAGGAUGCCCUUCAGGUACCCCGAGGUAACAAGCGACACUCGGGAUCUGAGAAGGGGAUUGGGGCUUCUAUCCAAGCGCCCAAUUUAAAAAGCUUCUAUGCCUGAAUAGGUGACCGGAGCCGGCACCUUUUCCUUUACUCACAACUUGUU